rnacentral:rRNA from 1 species
CCUACGGGAGGCUGCAGUGGGGAAUAUUGGACAAUGGGGGCAACCCUGAUCCAGCCAUGCCGCGUGUGUGAAGAAGGCCCUCGGGUUGUAAAGCACUUUCAGUGAGGAAGAACGCCUGGUGGUUAAUACCCAUCAGGAAAGACAUCACUCACAGAAGAAGCACCGGCUAACUCCGUGCCAGCAGCCGCGGUAAUACGGAGGGUGCGAGCGUUAAUCGGAAUUACUGGGCGUAAAGCGCGCGUAGGUGGCUUGAUAAGCCGGUUGUGAAAGCCCCGGGCUCAACCUGGGAACGGCAUCCGGAACUGGCAAGCUAGGGGGCAGGAGAGGAAGGUAGAAUUCCCGGUGUAGAGGUGAAAUGCGUAGAGAACGGGAAGAAAACCAGUGGCGAAGGCGGCCUUCUUGACUGAAACUGAAACUGAGGUGCGAAAGCGUGGGUAGCAAACAGGAUUAGAUACCCCAGUAGUC